GUAACAAGGUUUCCGUAGGUGAACCUGCGGAAGGAUCAUUCAUAAUAAGUGUUUUAUGGCACUUUUUAAAUCCAUAUCCACCUUGUGUGCAAUGUCAGUCGAUCUUCUUCAUGGAGAUCGACCAAACAUCAACCUUUAUUUUUUAACUCUUUGUCUGAAAAAUAUUAUGAAUAAACAAUUCAAAAUACAACUUUCAACAACGGAUCUCUUGGCUCUCGCAUCGAUGAAGAACGCAGCGAAAUGCGAUACGUAAUGUGAAUUGCAGAAUUCAGUGAAUCAUCGAAUCUUUGAACGCAUAUUGCGCUCUUUGGUAUUCCGAAGAGCAUGCUUGUUUGAGUAUCAGUAAACACCUCAAAGCUUUUGGAUUUUUUAAUCGAAAAGCUUUGGACUUGAGCAAUCCCAACACCAAUCUUUUUGAGAUCGGUGGCGGGUUGCUUGAAAUGCAGGUGCAGCUGGACAUUCUCCUGAGCUAAAAGCAUAUUCAUUUAGUCCCGUCAAACGGAUUAUUACUUUUGCUGCAGCUAACAUAAAGGGAGUUUGACCGUAUUGGCUGACUGAUGCAGGAUUUCACAAGGGUCGGCAACGAUUCUUGUUAAACUCGAUCUCAAAUCAAGUAAGACUACCCGCUGAACUUAAGCAUAUAAA
rnacentral:rRNA from 2 species